UUUUUUUUUUUUAAGAUUUUAUUUAUUUAUUCAUGACAGACACAGAGAGAGAGAGGCAGAGACACAGGCAGAGGCAGAAGCAGGCUCCAGGCAGGGAAUCCGACAUGGGACACGAUCCCGGGGUCUCCAGGAUCACACCCCGGGCUGAAGGUGGUGACACCAGGGCUGCCCCAGAUGUCAAUUUAGAUCAAGCCGAUCGAUGGUGCUGUUCAGUUCAACUAAAGUAGCCCUCCCUUAUCCAUGGUGGAUAAAUUCCAAGAUCUCUAGCGGAUGCCUGCCUGAACAAACAGAUACUACCAAGGCCUAUAUAUGCUGUUUUUUUUUCCUGUACACACACACACACACACACACACACACACACCUAGGACAAAGUUGAAUAUGUAAGUUAGGCACAGUAAGAGAUGAAUCACACCCAUAAUAAACUAGAAUAAUUAUAACAAUAUCCUGUAGUGAUAGCUACAUGAAUGUGCUCUCUCAAAACAUCUUUUUUUUAAAUAUUUUAUUUAUUUAUUCAUGAGACACACACACACACAGGCAGAGGCAGAGACCCAGGGAGAGGGAGAAGCAGGCUCCAUGCAGGGAGCCUGACGUGGGACUCGAUCCCGGGUCUCCAGGAGCAGGCCCUGGGGGGAAGGCAGCUGGGCCACCUGGGCUGCCUUCUCUCAGAACAUCUUACUGUACUGUGCUCAUCCUGCCUCUCGAGAUGUGAGAUGAUAAAACGUGUAUGUGAUGAGACAAGGUGAGAUGAAUAACAUAGGCAUCGUGUUGUCACUUUAGGCUACUACCGACCUUCUGAGGUUAAGUCCGCAGGAGGCUCAUCAGCUUCCAGACCACAGUUGGCCGCAGGUAACUGAAACCAGGGAAAACAAAACCGUGCGUAAGGGAGUACUACUAUAUAUCCUCGCUGAUUUUCUGCCUGCUGCACCUGUCAAUUACUGAUAGGUGUUGAAGUGAAUUUUAUAUAAUUUUAUAUACUCGUCUCUCUUGGCAUAGCAAUUCAAGUUUUGUUUUGAGUAGGCCCCACACCCAACGUGGGGCUCGAACUCACCACCCUGAGAUCAAGAGACGCGUGCUUUACCCACUGAGCCAGCCAGAUGCCCCCUUAAUUUUACUUCUAAUUUUCUUCUCAGUGUUUCAGUCUGCUGUGUGCGCAGUGCCCUGAGGGUAACAGAUUGCUAAAAAGUCAUCUCUCUCCAACAUUUACAGUGCCAUGGAAACCAGGACCGCAAGGCCUCCUGGCCUCCAAAGCCAGACCUGAAGUCAAAGCUGGACGCCAGAAACAUGUAAGACCUCCCUGCAGUGCUGGCACCCUGGAGCGGGACAGGGGGAGUGUGCAAAGGCAGUGGCUGCUUUCUGUAGUCUCAGGAAAGGGUCACAGUCAACUCCCAGAUAUACAUUUAAUUAGAAGCCUGGCCCUCAGGCCAGUGCUAUGACAAGGCCUCUUUCAUCGAAAGACAGAGCCCCUGAGUCUGCGGCCUGAUGCUGGGGGGCCUAGCUGUUUGCACACUCCUUCUCGGUUGGUUACAGACCCUGGGACCCGCAAGCUUAAGCCCUGCUGGCCCCUAGAGCCAGGCGAUGUAGGGUGUUCCCGGGCUGCAGCUGCGAAACUCAGGGCACCAGACACCAGAUAUUGAAGGCCCUUUCUGGAAGAUACCAGUUGAGCUGGAGGGAGGCAGAGGGAGAGCACAGAGACUGCAGCCACUGGCCUCUGUCCCCUGGGGGGUACUCCCCUACCCCCCAGUGUGUCAGGCCAGAAGCCCGCUUGGGGAGCAAGGUCAGUUCACAGCUCCCAGAGUCAACAGGCCUCCUUCUCAGGAAGCCUGGGCAUGUGCGUGGUGCCCUGGGAGGGCCAACGACUGUCUGACUGUCACAGUCCUUUGGGACCCAGGGAUGCAAGUCUCUCCAGCCUCCACAGCCAAGGGAUCAAGCGGCACCCUGACCAAAACAAGAAAAGGGAAAAAAAAAAAAAAAAAAAAAAA
rnacentral:lncRNA from 1 species